rnacentral:rRNA from 1 species
CGACGUGGAGAACCUGCCGUAUACUGGGGGAUAACACUUAGAAAUAGGUGCUAAUACCGCAUAAGCGCACAGCUUCGCAUGAAGCAGUGUGGAAAACAAAAAGCUAAAGCUUUUGGUGGUAUACGAUGGAUCCGCGUCUGAUUAGCUAGUUGGCGGGGUAAAGGCCCACCAAGGCGACGAUCAGUAGCCGGCCUGAGAGGGUGAACGGCCACAUUGAGACUGAGACACGGCCCAAACUCCUACGGAAGGCAGCAG